rnacentral:rRNA from 1 species
GACGAACGCUGGCGGCGUGCUUAACACAUGCAAGUCGAACGGAAAGGCCCUGCUUUUGUGGGGUGCUCGAGUGGCGAACGGGUGAGUAACACGUGAGUAACCUGCCCUUGACUUUGGGAUAACUUCAGGAAACUGGGGCUAAUACCGGAUAGGAGCUCCUGCUGCAUGGUGGGGGUUGGAAAGUUUCGGCGGUUGGGGAUGGACUCGCGGCUUAUCAGCUUGUUGGUGGGGUAGUGGCUUACCAAGGCUUUGACGGGUAGCCGGCCUGAGAGGGUGACCGGCCACAAUGGGACUGAGAGACGGCCCAGACUCCUACGGGAGGCAGCAGUGGGGAAUAUUGCACAAUGGGCGGAAGCCUGAUGCAGCAACGCCGCGUGCGGGAUGACGGCCUUCUGGUUGUAAACCGCUUUCGCCUGUGACGAAGCGUGAGUGACGGUAAUGAGUAAAGAAGCACCGGCUAACUACGUG